ensembl:lncRNA
GAAUUUAUGGUUUUAGCGAAAAAGACUUUUAUUUUGGUCUGGCGUUGUGACGUCAUAACGCUGCGCUCCUGCGUCUGUGAUUCGGCUGAAGAAAGGUGUGUGGUUUUAAAAGUGUAAACUGUUUGAAUCAGCACAACUCAUUUCGAGAACUUAUCAUAAAACUGAAAUGCUUUAUUUGUAAUAUAAUAUUUAUCGGGUGGUAUUAGUUGUUCAUUAAUUAUUUUGUGCUUUUAAAGCGCACCCAUACAUGAUAACAGCAAAGGUGCGUCUCAUUUCGCUCCCUCUAUCGAGAAUCAGUUCAUCUCAAACACGAAUUCAGUCAUGGGCAAGUAGUGAUGGAGACACGGAGCUUUUUGAAACUCCGAAUCAACUGAAUCGAUUGCCUCUCAAAUGAUUCACUGUUCUGAAUCGCUCGAAUCUGCUACAGUGUAACGUUAAAUGCAACAAGACCGACACAAGCAUGUUUACUGAUAACUUUUACAAAACAACUGCAAAUGUUCUCAUGAAAGUGGAAUAUUUUUAAUAUAAUCUACAAAUCAGUAAAUGCUACAUACAGAUGUAUAAUUUGUUUAUUUGCGUGUUAGUUUUGGGUGUUUUUUUGUCAAGUCUAUGAACUAUCACUCUGACUGAGACGCACCCAGAGAUUUAGUUUGCAUGUAUUCUUCAUUUUGUUAAUUAAUUUAAUCUUAAACAGGACGAAGUGUCCAAACACUCCUGCUGAAGCAGCUGAGCUCCACGUGACUCUGUUAUAAAGAUGGCGUUUAUUAAAGUUGAGAGUGAAGACAUGAAGAUUGAAGAAGUAUUCAGUGUCAAACAUGAAGAUACUGAGACACAAACAGAGUCUCCUGAUAACAAGUCAGCGACAGAGGAUGUGCCAAACCCCAAAGAAACUUUCACCACCCACAAAAAUUACUGCUAUGUCUGCAAGAAACCUCAGUCUAAAAUUUCACGUCACUUCAAACAGCAUCAAAACAGUGAGACGGAAAUUGCUGCUGCAUUCUCUCUCCCUAAACACUCCCAGGACAGAAAACGGUUACUUGAGAAGCUACGAAACCGAGGCAACUACCAACACAAUCAAGAGGUUAUAGAAAGAAAAAGAGGACCACUGAAAAUAAGGAGGCGCACAGGAAGGUCAGAAAUCGAACUGAGUGCCAAAACAUUUGUGCAUUGUGUAUACUGUAAAGGCCUGUUUGUUCGCAAGGAGCUGUGGCGCCAUACACGGAGAUGCCCUUCAAAGAUGUCGGAAGCAACUGGCAAGGCCAAAGUAUUAGAUUUGGCUGAUAUUGCAGAGUCAAUAUUCUCCCAACCAAUAUCUCCUGACGUGUGGAAGAUCUUGGGAAAAAUGAAGAAUGAUGACAUUUCAUCAGUAGUUCGAAAUGAUUUCCUCAUACUUCAGUUGAGUCAGUGUCUUUACAACAAGCAUGGCAGUGAUCCAACAAAAUCUGAAUACAUCAGACAGAAGGCUCGAGAAAUGGGCCGACUCUUGCUAAAAUUGAGAAGAAAAUACUCCAUAUAUAGCUUUGAAGAUGCUGUGAAACCGAACAAUUUUUACAAAGUUGUUGAGGCUGUGAAAGAUGUUGCUGGUUACGAUGAAAAGAGCCAUAUGUAUAAGACACCAAGUCUUGCAUUGAAGUUAGGACAUUCACUUAACAAGAUUGGUGACAUUAUUCUCUGCAGGGCCAUCGCAGUAGAGGAUGAUGUUAUGACAAAAGCAACAGAGCAAUUUAAAAGAUUGUGCUCAAGUGAAUGGACAGGACAUGUCUCCAAUGCUGCUCUUGCUACUUUGAACAAAUCAAAGUUCAGCAAACCAUCUACUAUACCAUUCACACAGGACAUGCAGCUUCUCCAUCAGUACCUAGAGAAGAAAUCAGUUGAUGCUUUUGAAAGCCUGAAAAAUCAUGAGUCUUCACACACCUAUGCAGAACUUGCCAAAGUGGCACUUGCACAAGUAAUAAUAUUCAACAGACGUUGUGCAGGAGAAGUCUCAAAAAUGACGCUUGAGUGCUUUAAGAAAAGAAACCAGACUGAGCUCCACGAGGACAUAGCUCUCGGUCUCUCUCCAUUUGAACAAAAAAUGUCCAAGCAUUUCAGCAGAGUAGAAAUCCUGGGCAAGAAAGGGAGAAAAGUUGCUAUUUUGUUCAAUCCUGAACUCGUCAGAACCAUUAAACUUAUUGUGGAGAAGAGAGAUGUAUGUGAAGUAGACCGGGACAACCCCUUCCUAUUUGGAAGACCAAAGUGCUCACCCACCAGCUUCUUCAGGGGACAGGACUGCAUCAGGCUUUUUGCAAGUCAAUGUGGUGCGAAGAACCCAGAACAUCUCAGGUCUACACAGCUCCGCAAGCAAGUGGCAACAAUGUCCCAGAUUCUCAGUCUUAAGGAUAACGAGCUAAACCAACUUUCCAACUUUUUGGGCCAUGACAUUCGGGUCCAUAGAGACUAUUAUCGGUUGCCAGAUGCAACUAUAGAAAUUGCAAAAAUCUCAAAGCUGUUACUAGCAAUGGAAAAAGGAAAUCUUGCAAGAUUCCAAGGAAAAACUUUUGAUGAAAUUGAGAUUGAAGGUGUGUGAACAGUUUCAUAUAAUAAUAAUAAUAAUAAUAAUAAUAAUAAUAAUAAUAAUAAUAAUAUAAAAUAUUUAUUUAAAUAAUAGAAGUUUAGGAGCUAUAUGUGUGUACUUUAAUGCAAAUGUAUGGGUGUUUUUUCAAAUAUGCAUUUCUGUAGAAGAAAUUGAUCUGGAAUCAGACGAGGAAGAAAUAAGUGAUGAAGAUGAUGAAGAGUCAGGUCCUGCCCAUAGAGUAAGGGGUAUGUAAUGAAUUUUAUUCCAGUGUGCAUCAAUGGGAUUGUGUAUUCACUAAAGGAGUUACCACAGGAGGCCCACUGCAGUCUUCAUACAGACUUGCAUGCGCUGAAUCUGUGACUGAUUUACCAAAGAAUCCACAGUGAAAUGUACUGAACAAGCAAUGAUCAUCUUAGACAUCCACAUAGCUGGAAAUAAAUAAGCACUUUGAUAACA